GACGAACGCUGGCGGCGUGCUUAACACAUGCAAGUCGAGCGGUAAGGCCCUUUCGGGGGUACGACGAGCGGCGAACGGGUGAGUAACACGUGGGUGACCUGCCCUUAGCUCUGGGAUAAGCCUGGGAAACUGGGUCUAAUACCGGAUAUGACUCCAUAACGCAUGUUGUGGGGUGGAAAGCCUUGUGCGGCUAGGGAUGGGCCCGCGGCCUAUCAGGCUUGUUGGUGGGGUGAUGGCCCACCAAGGCGACGACGGGUAGCCGGCCUGAGAGGGCGACCGGCCACACUGGGACUGAGACACGGCCCACGACUCCUACGGGAGGGCAGCAGUGGGGAAUCUUGCGCAAUGGGCGAAAGCCUGACGCCAGCGACGCCGCGUGGGGA
rnacentral:rRNA from 1 species